GGCAAUCCAGAUGAGAUCGCGAAGUUGUUCCCGAAGCUGUUCGGGCAGCCCUCGGCUGUUUUGGUGCCGACCGGCGCCGCGCCAUCGGAGAUGACUGGGAGUCUUAAGAUCGGGGUUGUGUUGUCCGGUGGACAGGCGCCCGGAGGGCAUAAUGUUAUUUCUGGGAUCUUCGAUUAUUUGCAGGAUAGGGCGAAGGGGAGCACUCUGUAUGGGUUUAAGGGAGGACCGGCGGGUAUCAUGAAGUGCAAGUAUGUUGAGUUGGACACCGAUUUCAUUUAUCCUUACAGGAACCAGGGCGGGUUUGACAUGAUAUGCAGUGGAAGAGACAAGAUAGAAACUCCAGAACAGUUUAAACAAGCUGAAGACACUGCUACAAAACUUGAUUUAGAUGGACUCAUAGUUAUCGGGGGAGAUGACUCCAAUACAAAUGCU
rnacentral:misc_RNA from 1 species